AGCGAACGCUGGCGGCAGGCCUAACACAUGCAAGUCGAACGGAUCCUUCGGGAUUAGUGGCGGACGGGUGAGUAACACGUGGGAACGUGCCCUUUGGUUCGGAACAACUCAGGGAAACUUGAGCUAAUACCGGAUGUGCCCUUCGGGGGAAAGAUUUAUCGCCAUUGGAGCGGCCCGCGUCUGAUUAGCUAGUUGGUGGGGUAAAGGCCCACCAAGGCGACGAUCAGUAGCUGGUCUGAGAGGAUGAUCAGCCACAUUGGGACUGAGACACGGCCCAAACUCCGACGGGAGGCAGCAGUGGGGAAUCUUGCGCUAUGGGCGAAAGCCUGACGCAGCCAUGCCGCGUGAAUGAUGAAGGUCUUAGGAUUGUAAAAUUCUUUCCCCGGGGACGAUAAUGACGGUACCCGGAGAAGAAGCCCCGGCUAACUUCGUGCCAGCCGCCGCAGUAA
rnacentral:rRNA from 1 species